CAUCUUUUCACUAGAACUAGAAUAGUCAGAAAUAUUAUUUUUCUUCUUUCAACUCUCUUCAUCACACAACACAAAUCAAAGCCGAAAGAACGAGAAUUAGCCGAGAGUAGAGGAGAAAGUUGGAAGGGCGCUAUUGUUGCUUCCUCUCUGCAAUGACAGAAAUUUGACACGUAUCUUGGUUUGGUUAACUUGGAUGGAAGUGACCCUGCAAUUGGUGCUUGCAGCCAUUGAGGUGGCGAUUCAAGUCACUCUUGCCGAGUUGUCGAUAAACACAUGAGAAUUUUUCUGUUAAAGGAAAAAGACUUAUCUUAGAUUUAGAGCCAAAGAAUGAGGGUUGUAGAGAGUAAAGGGGAACACUUCAAAGACAGCUUCAUUCGGAAGAAGAACAGGGGAGAAUGCUUGCAAUACUGUUGUUAUGAUUCUGAACAUUUUCAGCAGCUUAUUCUCAAUACUAAAAAGAAUUCAACUGGAGCACUUUAAGAAGGACCGUUGAAUGAGCUAAAACUUUGAUGAACCUAUACACUUUUAGCUGAACAAUUCUUGAAGGUUUGUUAUCUCCUCAAGUAUUCCUAUUAGUUGUAGGAUUUUGUGGAGUUUAAGUUGAGUUUCAUUGUUGUGAGUUGCUUAAUCUUUGUGUCUUAGGUAGGUUAGGAAACCUGAUGCCAAGCCCCUACUAAUAAUCAAAGACUAUCCUGUCUACAUGCACAUUUGUUUUUCUUCUUGAGUUCUUGAUUACAUUGAUCGGUGAUUAUUCCUUCUACAAUAUUCAUUAGGUAUUGAUAUUCUAUCAAGUUGUUGUUAGCUUGAGUUAGCCCAGUUGCUUCUGACUAACUGUUUGGAUGACACAAGGUAAAAUCUUGCAGCUAUACUAUUGAUACAAGAGGCUAACUGUUUGAAUGACGUACACAAGGUAAAAAUGUUGCAGCUAUACCAUUGAUAUAAGCUACAAAGUCUUGCAUCAAAUAUUGCAGAUAGCCGUGAAAAUUUAUCUUUUCCCCAUGCACAAGCUUGGGAGGAGACUGCUAUUUUGAGUCACUCUUGGUGCGCGUUAUAGUGAACUUUUAUUUGUUGCUGGAAUCAUUAUUCCAUCAUAACUAAGAACGGGUAACAAUUGGGAUGAAUGUAAAUAUUAGUUAGUAAGGAUAGUAAUUCAGUUGGGCUCUACUAAUUAUAGGAUUCACUUUUAUCUUAAAAACAUGAUGUGGGUGAAUUACUCGCUUGCAUUUUCUCCUUCACAAAUUGGAGAUGAAUAUUUCCUCUAGACAGGGUCUAUAUUGUUUGCUUCUACCACGAUGAUUUUGACAAAAUGACGGCGAACUUAUAUUUAUUGAGAGCGCUUUCUAAUUCUACUUUGUAGUGAGCUCAAUUUGUUUUUCUUUUGUUAUGUUCUUUUUUUCCGCUUUUGAAUUGACAAGUUUCUUCAACCUUCUUGAUAUUAUCCUUGGUAUUAAAGAGUUUGUUGAGUUGUAACAGCCAAGCUUAUCAUGUAUAUGACUCAUUGCUCAUUGAUUGUAAUCUUUCAUUGAUCACGGAACAGUUUGGAAGUUUUUAAAGGAGUUAAAAGUAUAAGAAAAUGUUGUUUAAUAAGGAGCCUAAAAAGGUGCAGUUCAAAUGUGAAAUCUGCUUGUACUCUCAUAUAGAACUUAAGAA